AGAGUUUGAUCAUGGCUCAGGACGAACGCUGGCGGCGUGCCUAAUACAUGCAAGUCGAGCGGACCCUUCGGGGUUAGCGGCGGACGGGUGAGUAACACGUAGGUAACCUGCCUGUAAGACCGGGAUAACUACCGGAAACGGUAGCUAAGACCGGAUAGCUGGUUUUCCGUCAUGGAGGAAUCAUGAAACACGGCGCAAGC
rnacentral:rRNA from 1 species